rnacentral:rRNA from 1 species
ACUCAAAGGAAUUGACGGGGGCCCGCACAAGCGGCGGAGCAUGUUGCUUAAUUCGACGCAACGCGAAGAACCUUACCAAGGUUUGACAUGGGCCGUUUACCCCUGGAGACAGGGGGUCCUUCGGGGCGGUUCACAGGUGGUGCAUGGCUGUCGUCAGCUCGUGUCGUGAGAUGUUGGGUUAAGUCCCGCAACGAGCGCAACCCUUGUCCCGUGUUGCCAGCAUCAGGUUGGGGACUCACGGGAGACUGCCGGGGUCAACUCGGAGGAAGGUGGGGAUGACGUCAAGUCAUCAUGCCCCUUAUGUCUUGGGCUGCAAACAUGCUACAAUGGCCGGUACAGAGGGCUGCGAGCCUGCGAGGGUGAGCGAAUCCCGGAAAGCCGGCCUCAGUUCGGAUCGGGGUCUGCAACCCGACCCCGUGAAGUCGGAGUCGCUAGUAAUCGCGGAUCAGCAUUGCCGCGGUGAAUACGUUCCCGGGCCUUGUACACACCGCCCGU